UACGGAGGGGGCUAGCGUUGUUCGGAAUUACUGGGCGUAAAGCGCGCGUAGGCGGACCUGCAAGUCGGGGGUGAAAGCCCGAGGCUCAACCUCGGAACUGCCUUCGAUACUGCGGGUCUCGAGUCCGGGAGAGGUGAGUGGAAUUCCUAGUGUAGAGGUGAAAUUCGUAGAUAUUAGGAAGAACACCAGUGGCGAAGGCGGCUCACU
rnacentral:rRNA from 1 species